AGCUCAAUGGUAGAGCAACUGACUCUUAAUCAGCAGAGUUCUAGGGGUUAUCGUUUAACCCCCACAUCUACUAUCAACUGCUAAAAUUGGCCUAAAAAUUCCACCCCUACUACCCA
rnacentral:tRNA from 1 species